UUUCGACAAAGCUAUACAUUUUACGGUUAACAGAAAUUAGCCUGCAGGAUACGUUACGUAUUAUUAUAUCCUCAGUUGUACGUUUCAAUUACACAGCUGCUGUAAAUCCUGCGUGACCACUUCCCCGGAAGGUAAUGCGACCAACCAAAAUCCAAUUACUGUUAUCAUUAUUAUUUUUAAUUCGUCCGAUUACGUACGCUUCUGGUGCACAACAUGUGUUCGGCAAACACCGCACGCGUGUGUAAUUAAAACGAUAAGCGCAGAAAUCGUUUUUCUAUGAAAUUAGAAACAUAGUUUUAAACAUCGUAUGGCAUAAGAUACAACAAUAUUUUUGGCCAACUAUUUUUAUUUUUGGACCACUGUGCGCCGUCUCGAACUUUCUGGCUGCCGUGUCGUAUCCCGGAAUCGGUUCCUGCCUCUUUCUAGAAACUUCUCGGCGCCGGGUUAGCGUGCUUUCCCUUUUACCCCUUUCGUCAGCCUACCCAGUUUACUCAUUGCACAGCCGUGAAGCUCUUGGAAUUAUUAUGUACUUAUCCGCGUGGCCCGUGAACCUGAAUAAAUUGAAUACGUUGGUCACCUCUGGUACAUACACACCACCGUGACUGGCCAUCGUCAAAUUAGAAUGUGUAUGCGGUGCAUUCCCGUGUAUGUAUCGUUUUUCGUCUUGAUUAUUAUGAUACAUCCGGAGCCUUGAUUAUCACUCCGAGUCGAAUCAAAUUAUUACCGUUUUCAAUCCGGCGGUCAUGCGAUAAUCGAUAAUAUUUGUCAAUAAUGUCAACUUGUAUCAUUAUACUUAUUUUGUUAAUAUUAUUUUCUUAUUGCCAGUACGAAAUAUUAUUUAUUAUUAUAUUUUAUU